UCGGGAAUUUUGGGCAAUGGGCGAAAGCCUGACCCAGCAACGCCGCGUGAAGGAUGAAGUCUCUCGGGAUGUAAACUUCGUAAGAAUAGGAAGAAUAAAUGACGGUACUAUUUGUAAGGUCCGGCUAACUACGUGCCAGCAGCCGCGGUAAUACGUAGGGACCAAGCGUUGUUCGGAUUUACUGGGCGUAAAGGGCGCGUAGGCGGUUUUUUAAGUCAGAUGUGAAAGCCCCGGGCUCAACCUGGGAAUUGCAUUUGAAACUGGAAAACUAGAGUGUGUGAGAGGGGGGUAGAAUUCCAAGUGUAGCGGUGAAAUGCGUAGAGAUUUGGAGGAAUACCAGUGGCGAAGGCGGCCCCCUGGCACAACACUGACGCUCAGGUGCGAAAGCGUGGGGAGCAAACAGGAUUAGAUACCCAAGUAGUCCCUGAG
rnacentral:rRNA from 1 species